AGUGAACGCUGGCGGUAGGCCUAACACAUGCAAGUCGAACGGCAGCACAGGAGAGCUUGCUCUCUGGGUGGCGAGUGGCGGACGGGUGAGGAAUACAUCGGAAUCUACUUUUUCGUGGGGGAUAACGUAGGGAAACUUACGCUAAUACCGCAUACGACCUACGGGUGCAAGCAGGGGACCUUCGGGCCUUGCGCGAUUGAAUGAGCCGGUGUCGGAUUAGCUAGUUGGCGGGGUAAAGGCCCACCAAGGCGACGAUCCGUAGCUGGUCUGAGAGGAUGAUCAGCCACACUGGAACUGAGACACGGUCCAGACUCCUACGGGAGGCAGCAGUGGGGAAUAUUGGACAAUAGGCGCAAGCCUGAUCCAGCCAUACCGCGUGGGUGAAGAAGGCCUUCGGAUUGUAAAGCCCUUUUGUUGGGAAAGAAAUCCAGCUGGCUAAUACCCGGUUGGGAUGACGGUACCCAAAGAAUAAGCACCGGCUAACUUCGUGCCAGCCGCCGCGGUAA
rnacentral:rRNA from 1 species